UACGUAGGGUGCAAGCGUUGUCCGGAAUUAUUGGGCGUAAAGAGCUCGUAGGCGGUUUGUCGCGUCUGCUGUGAAAACGCGAGGCUCAACCUCGCGCCUGCAGUGGGUACGGGCAGACUAGAGUGCGGUAGGGGAGAUUGGAAUUCCUGGUGUAGCGGUGGAAUGCGCAGAUAUCAGGAAGAACACCCGUGGCGAAGGCGGCUCCUCUGGAACGCAACUGACGCUGAGACGCGAAAGCGUGGGGAGCAAACAGG
rnacentral:rRNA from 1 species